rnacentral:rRNA from 1 species
UACGGAGGGGGCUAGCGUUGUUCGGAAUUACUGGGCGUAAAGCGCACGUAGGUGGCUGGGUAAGUUGGAUGUGAAAUCCCCGGGCUUAACUUGGGAAUUGCAUUCAAGACUGCCUUGCUAGAGUGUGGAAGAGGGAAGCGGAAUUCCAGGUGUAGCGGUGAAAUGCGUAGAUAUCUGGAGGAACAUCAGUGGCGAAGGCGGCUUCCUGGUCCAACACUGACACUGAGGUGCGAAAGCGUGGGGAGCAAACAGG